CACGUAGGGACCGAGCGUUGUCCGGAUUCAUUGGGCGUAAAGAGCUCGUAGGCGGUCGGGUAAGUCGGGUGUGAAAUCUCCGGGCUCAACUCGGAGGGGCCACCCGAUACUGCACGACUCGAGUCCGGUAGGGGAGUGGGGAAUUCCUGGUGUAGCGGUGAAAUGCGCAGAUAUCAGGAGGAACACCGGUGGCGAAGGCGCCACUCUGGGCCGGUACUGACACUAAGGCGCGAAAGCGUGGGGAGCGAACAGG
rnacentral:rRNA from 1 species